rnacentral:rRNA from 1 species
GACGAACGCUGGCGGCGUGCUUAACACAUGCCAGUCGAACGGAAAGGCCCUGCUUUUGUGGGGUGCUCGAGUGGCGAACGGGUGAGUAACACGUGAGUAACCUGCCCUUGACUUUGGGAUAACUUCAGGAAACUGGGGCUAAUACCGGAGAGGAGCUCCUGCUGCAUGGUGGGGGUUGGAAAGUUUCGGCGGUUGGGGAUGGACUGUGGGCUUAUCAGCUAGUUGGUUGGGUAGUGGCUUACCGAGGCUUUGACGGGUAGCCGGCAUGGGAGCGUGACCGGGCACAAUGGGCCUAAGGUAGGGACCAGUGGGCAAUGGGGGGCAGUGGGCGAAAACAUUGCACAGCGAGGCGGCGUGUGAUACGGCAGCGUCGCGUGCGUAAAGACGGCUUUGGGGGUGUGAACCGCUUUGGGCUGAGACGAAGCGUUAGUGACGGUAAUGGGUAAAGAAGCACCGGCUAACUACGUG